AGAGAAGAGAGAAAAACCGAAUGGAGAGAAAAAUAGAAGAAGUAUCACCUGAACAUAAAAGAAAGACAAGAAAGAAGGUGAAGAAGCCAUCACAAAAAUAAGAAAAAAGAAAAAGACGGGGAAGAAGCUAAGUUGCUGACAUUGUGAAAAAGGCUCACAAGGUAAACACAAAGAAAGACAAAAGGAAAUUCAUGGAUAUGGCGAAAAGGAAAGGUCCAUGCUUCCAUUGCGGAAUUGAUUGCGGAAAAAAUCCAUGUUUAUGGUAUCCUAAUGCCCCAUCAAGGAAACGCACACGGGUAGUGCAGAUGGAUAUAACAUCAAUCCGGAGGUUUCAUGAACAACUUCUGAUGAUGUGGAAAAAUGACGGGAACUCAAACGGGUCAUCCCAAGAAUCGGAAGAGGUCUUAUUGAUCGAUAACGUCAAUAACUUCAUACCUAGUAACGAAAUAGGGCUUGGAUGCAUUCUUCUUAAACCAGAAGAUGCUUCUGCAUAGGAGGGUUCAUUUAUGCAUCCUUCAUGAAUGUUUGAGAAUCUGUAAGUUUCUCUAAACAUGGCUUAUUGCUUUUGAAUAUUGAACUUUUUGAAUUCAAACUUUUGUGUGAGCCUUGCUCAAGACUUAAAAUAUGUAUUGAACUGGGUGUUGUGUUUUAUGAGAUGAUUCGAAGUCAUGUAUGAUUUGACAAGUACUGUAGACCAAUAUGAAAUCGGCAGACUUUGGAAUAA